rnacentral:tRNA from 1 species
CCGCCUGUGGCCUAGUGGGCAAGGUAACAGUCUUGGGAACACAGGGUCGUAGGUUCAAGCCCAGCUAGGAGCG